rnacentral:rRNA from 1 species
GAAGUUGGAGUCGCUAGUAAUCGCAGAUCAGCAACGCUGCGGUGAAUACGUUCCCGGGCCUUGUACACACCGCCCGUCACGUCAUGAAAGUCGGUAACACCCGAAGCCGGUGGCCUAACCCUUGUGGGGGGAGCCGUCGAAGGUGGGAUCGGCGAUUGGGACGAAGUCGUAACAAGGUAGCCGUACCGGAAGGUGCGGCUGGAUCACCUCCUUU